rnacentral:rRNA from 1 species
AACGCCGCGUGAGUGAUGAAGGUUUUCGGAUCGUAAAACUCUGUUGUUAGGGAAGAACAAGUACCGUUCGAAUAGGGCGGUACCUUGACGGUACCUAACCAGAAAGCCACGGCUAACUACGUGCCAGCCACUUCGGUGACUGAGCGGGCUGGCAAGGCGCAUA